UGCUGUCGGUAAGCUCAGUAAUACUCUGAGCAAGUUGGGCCUCACAUUCGGUUAUGCACAUUUUAGCAUAGUAUUUUUAAUAAGUGUAAUUAAAAUCUUCUUGAUAAUAAAUUAUACCUGCACACGUGGAUAUCUUGUGGUGUACACUUGCGACUCAGGGUAAUGUGAUGCCGUCAUUUAGCAAAGUAAACGUGCCAAAAUACAUAUAUCAAGUGUGAAUCGAGGCGGUUAUCGCAAUUCAACUAAUUGAAACUAUAGGUGCGUACAAAUGACAUUGACAAAUCUCCAAAUGACAAUCGUUAUCUCUCAUAUGUCAAAUAUACUAAACUUGUGCUUAUUUACUACAUAAAGUAUUUAUAAAAAUUGA